rnacentral:rRNA from 1 species
AUGGCUGUCGUCAGCUCGUGUCGUGAGAUGUUCGGUUAAGUCCGCUAACGAGCGCAACCCUCGCUGUGUGUUAUAUGUGUCACACGGGACGUGCCGGUCUUAAGCCGGAGGAAGGUGGGGAUGAUGUCAAGUCAGCAUGGCCUUUAUAUCCUGGGCUACACACACGCUACAAUGGCCAACACAAUAGGUUGCUAAGCCGCGAGGUGGCGCCAAUCCAUAAAGUUGGUCUCAGUUCAGAUUGUAGGCUGCAACUCGACUGCAUGAAGCCGGAGUUGCUAGUAACCGCAGGUCAGCAAUACUGCGGUGAAUACGUUCCCGGGUCUU